ACACAAUUGUUGUAAAGGUCAUGGAUAAGUAUUUGGAACAUGACCAAAUUGUGCAAUUUAAAUGCUUACCAACAUUCAGAAUAUCUGAUCCUAAGCUGCUAAAAGUAAAAUGCUUGAAUGGAAAGCUAAAAUACCCAAAAUGUGUCAAGACAGGACCAUGUACUCUAAAUGAUAAUACAAUGCUAAAAAACAACAUCACAGUGAAAAGUGUUAAUACGCAUUGUGGAAGUGAAAGGAUGCCAAACAAAUGUGGUAUUAAGUCAUAUAAAGCAAAUGAGACCAUUGAAUUUUCCUGUUUGUCUGGUUAUGAAAUAUCUGAUCAUGAGGAAUUAAAAGUCAAAUGUCAUGGAGGAGUUGUAGAGUAUCCAACAUGCUUCAAAAAAAGUAAAUGAAUCUACUUUUCAGCCUUUAGUAGAGACUGAAAUAUACUAAGAACUGGUUUUACAAAAUAUUGCAACUGAGUUGAAGAAAGGAAGCAAUGUCAGAAUGCAAGGCCUAAC